rnacentral:misc_RNA from 1 species
ACUGAAAAAUAACUAAUUCCACAUAUUGCAACUAUUUUGCGAGACGAAUCUUAUGAGCCUAAUUGCUCCAUGAUUUGACAAUGUGUUGCUACAGUAAACAUUCGCUAAUGAUGGAUUAAUUAGACUAGUAAAUUCAUCUCGCGGUUUACUAACGGAUUCUGUAAUUAGUUUUUUUCGCCC